rnacentral:rRNA from 1 species
AUUGAACGCUGGCGGCAUGCUUUACACAUGCAAGUCGAACGGCAGCGCGGGCUUCGGCCUGGCGGCGAGUGGCGAACGGGUGAGUAAUACAUCGGAACGUGCCCGGUAGUGGGGGAUAGCUCGGCGAAAGCCGGAUUAAUACCGCAUACGACCUGAGGGUGAAAGCGGGGGAUCUUCGGACCUCGCGCUAUUGGAGCGGCCGAUGGCAGAUUAGCUAGUUGGUGGGGUAAAGGCCUUCCAAGGCGACGAUCUGUAGCUGGUCUGAGAGGACGACCAGCCACACUGGGACUGAGACACGGCCCAGACUCCUACGGGAGGCAGCAGUGGGGAAUUUUGGACAAUGGGCGAAAGCCUGAUCCAGCAAUGCCGCGUGUGUGAUGAAGGCCUUCGGGUUGUAAAGCACUUUUGGCGGGAACGAAAAGGACUGUGCCAAUACCACGGUUCGAUGACGGUACCCGCAGAAUAAGCACCGGCUAACUACGUG